CUGAUAUGGCUCAGUUGGUAGAGCGCACCCUUGGUAAGGGUGAGGUCCCCAGUUCGACUCUGGGUAUCAGCA
rnacentral:tRNA from 1 species